rnacentral:antisense_RNA from 1 species
AGAGGGGAGCAGCCAGCAGUCUUAUGCUACCACUGUGGCUCAUCCUGGGGACUGAGAGAAACCUGGGCAACUGUGAGCACCAGAGGCCAAGUCCUGGACAGUCUUUAGGCCAUGUUGGAACUACAUUUGGAAAGGUGGUUGUUAAACAUUUCCCAGCACACACCUGGAUCUGCAUCUGCUGUGUCAAUUGAACCACUCACUGGUUCUGUGACCUCAGGCAAGUCAUUUAAAUUAUAAGCCUUGGUUUUAUCCUCCACAGAAUACUUCCUCCUAAAAUGUGUUGUGAAAAUUAGAAUAGAUGAAGGCACCCUUGAAAAGAUGACUGAUGUGGUUGGUUGCCCCACCACUUCCUACUACUUGGCAGAGCCUCCUCGUUGGCAGAUCCUUCUCUCACUAGAGCAUGUAUAUGGAUGCAUGCUCUCUCACCCUCCCUUGUAGCUUAGAGCAGAGCAUACCAAUCUAUGUGCCAGCAUACCCUGGUAUGUCUCAGAUGGGUCAUAGAUGUGAUAAGGUAUGGAUCCCUUAAGCCCUUGGGACAUUCAAGUGAGGCUGAGCUGCUGAAGCCCUGGGAUGGUAUGACUGGCCACAAGCAACAUUACCCAGGUACCCCUCUGUGUCACAAAAACUUUAUCUUUGUAUUUGUGUCAUGGUGUGAAAAAAUUGAGAAGCACUGCCUGGGGACAUAGAGAGGUAGCCCAAUUCUGGAUAAAGGAAAUUGAGAAGUCUUGAGCGGGUAGAGAGGUUUUCUUCCCUGAUAAGAAGAAUCACAGGAGAGAAAAUGCCUUCCUCAGCCAUAUGUUGUUAUUUCUAUAUGUGAGCCUGGAAUUUCAAGGUUGUCUUGCAAAGAACCAAGGUAAUGUAGAGAAAAGAAUUGAUAGCAAGUGGCUGGAUCUUUCACAUUGUAAAGCCAUUGAGCCAUCCGUGCAAUUGCCCACCUUGGGAAUUUAUUUUUAAGAGUGAUAAUAAAUGCUCCUCAUUGUUUAAACUACUUUGAUUUUUGUAUUUGGUUAUUCAUUAUUAAAAACACCCAAACACAGUAGAAGAACUGGUACAUCCCUGACACCUAAUGAGUGCUCAAUAUGGUUAGUUAAUCACCAAAUUAGAUCCUUUGCCUUUAGAAAAGCUGCCAUGGUCAAAUGUGUGUUGAUCUUAUUUUUCAUAAAUAUUUAAGAAAUUUGUUCAGUAACUAGCUUAACUUUUAAUAUUUAUCUUGAGUCUCUUCUAAAUAUGUUUUUACUGUAUAAUAAAAGCAAUAAUUGAAAAAUGACAUCAUUUUAAGCUUGAGAGCAACUAGAUACAAAGAUGUCGAUAUGCGUUUUCUCUUCUUGAAGGAUCUAGACAAACUGCAGCACCAUUACAUGAAAAAGGUUAAAGAAUCAAUGUUUUGCAAAAUAGAACUGGAAUUAAUUCAUGGGAAUUACAGAGAAGAUCAUAUUAGUUCAAUAUAAAAAGAGGGCCUAGAAUGUGCCAAGCUCCAUACAAUGCCCCUCAUGAGUGUUAUUUAAUUCUCACAACAACUUUGCAAAAAAGAAACUAUUUUUUUUUUCCAUUUUACAAAGGAGGAAGCUAAGGCUGUGAAAAAGAGCUCUUUUGCAAGCCUAGGACCUGAUUCCAAAAUUCCCACUCUUUCUGUUGCAAAUUCUGGCUAAGCUUUCCAGAGAUGACUUGCUUUCCCCUUGAGGCCCUUUCAGUGCAUUGUGCCAUGGAAAACAAAAAGCCCAACAAUGACAUCUUUACCAAAGAUGCCUUGGGGAGAUGGGAGAAGAGUUACAAUGCAUAUUACACAGCAAAAUCUUUUUUAAGCUCCAAGUAAAAUUGUUUUUUUCUUAGAGUUUUGCUUCUAGCAGUCACUUCCUCCAUUCUCCUGCUCUCUCCACGUGAGGAAAACUUCUAUCCUGCCUUCUCCUAAUACACUUUCCUGUUUUUUUUUUCCUGCACAUUUCUUAAAAAUCCCACAUAAGGCAAAAGCCAAGACAAUAUCCAUCAACACCUCCACCCCCACCGCAUGUCCAUGGAGAGCUUCAAGUCAUCCUGCCGCUGGUACAAACACGGCAGAGGCCUCUUUGUAAAAAAGUGGUAGGUAGAAUUCAGGUUAGCACCAGAAUCUGAAAACUCCAGCUCCUUUGGCUGGGGCCAGGCUGGUAAUAUAAAUGUUAGAUCAGGCUGGGUCUGACACAAUAGGGAUCAGUAGAGCAUACUUGUCACAUUUGAAGGCAUUCAGAAAAAUAAUAACCUUAAAACAUUCUAAACAUGUUGGAAUCAAAGAGGAUACCCCUUGACCACUGCAUGAAUUGGAGUUCAAAGAUCAUCUCUCUUUUGCCUAGGCUGUAGACUAGUUAUUUAACCUCUCUCAGACUUGGUUUCCUCUUCUGGAACAGGGUAUAUCAACUACCUUGCAGAAAUAAAUGAGAUCCUGUACACAAUGCACCUACCAUGUUGCCUGACCCAAUAAUGUGUACAUACAUAAGAAAAUGUUCAUGCCCUUUGCUCACUUUAAAAUUUUUUUUUCUUGUAUAUUUGUUUAAGUUCUUCGUAGACUCUGGAAUGGAGCUGGAAGCUGUCAUCCUCAGCACACUAACGCAGGAACAGAAAACCAAGCACUGCAUGUUCCCACUUAUAAGUGAGAGCUGAACGAGCAGAACACAUGGACAUAUGAAGGGGAACAACACACUCUGGGGCCUGUGAGGUGCGGGGAGAGCAUCAAGAAGAACAGCUAAUGGGUGCUGGGCUUAAUACCUGGGUGAUGGGUUGAUCUGUGCGGCAAACCACCAUGGCACACAUUUACCUAUGUAACAAACCUGGACAUCCUGCACAUGUACCCCGGAACUUAAAAAUAAAAGUUGACAAAAAGAAAACAUAA